rnacentral:rRNA from 1 species
UGCCUCGUAAAUUGAGGCCUGUAUGAAUGGCUAAACGAGGUCUUAACUGUCUCUUACAGGCAAUCGGUGAAAUUGAUCUCCCUGUGCAAAAGCAGGGAUAAACCCAUAAGACGAGAAGACCCUGUGGAACUUCAAAAUCAGCAACCACCCUUCAACACAUCCACGCCCACUGGGCUCACGAACCUACAAGGCGAUGGUCUGCAUUUUUCGGUUGGGGCGACCUUGGAGAAAAACAGAUCCUCCAAAAAUUAGACCAUACCUCUAGACUGAGAGCGACCCCUCAACGUGCUAAUAGCACCCAGACCCAAUACAAUUGAUCAAUGGACCAAGCUACCCCAGGGAUAACAGCGCAAUCUCCUCCGAGAGUCCGUAUCGACGGGGAGGUUUACGACCUCGAUGUUGGAUCAGGACAUCCUAGUGGUGCAGCCGCUACUAAGGGUUCGUUUGUUCAACGAUUAAAGU